UGAACAUGCUAGGGCCCAAACUCAAAUAUCGCGCUGCAGGAAUGAUAUUUUGAAUCUCCAACAUCUUCAACAUGGCGCUUCGUUAUCUUCUUCAUCAACAUUUGAAUCUUCAUCGCCGACAUCCGCACCUUCAUCACCAGCAUCCGCCAUCAUUACGCCGUCCUCGAAGCUCGUCGCAGACAAAUAGAUGAAUCACAGGCUCACCGUAUUGGUUCCAAAACAUGGAAUGUUGGUGACUCGUUUGUCGAGGAAGAUGGUUUGGUGUUGAAAUGCGUUGCGAUAAAGUCCGAAAUUGGAAUUGCGCAUAGAAUCGAAGCCUAAACCUCCUCCAACAUCCGUGAAUUUUCGCAGCGAAUCGAAGCCGAAGCCUCCUCCAAGAUCCGUUCUGAAUUGGACUUGGGAUGGAAGGUUCAGAAGUUUUCGUGAGAUUGAUGAGUUGAGUGAAGGAGAUUUGAAGAAUCGAUUGGAUAAUGGAGAGUGAAUGUUACAGAAUAAUGAUCAAUCCCUCUCAAUCACAAUAAGCUUGACGUUUUGGUUCAAGGAGAAGCUCCGGAGCCUAAUCCUGGAGGCAGUGGCUGAUAACUCUGUAUGGUCAAUGGCAGGCUGAUGGUUGUUAUUAUACCGACAUGAUCGAGUCCACAACAAGUCUCAGCUAUUGUCCUUGAUAGGUUCAUUAAUGCAGGGAGGUAGUGAAUAGUUAUGGCGCAGGGUAAAGAGAAAAUCUUAAGCUGGUGCUCCAGGUUGAAUUUGGAAGAUUGAAUGUGUUAGGACUGUGCUUUGGAAUUGUGCGACUAGGCUUCUAUGGAAUGCUAUUGUGAAUCAUACGCUUGGAACGGAUUGCUAUGCUUAAAUUGUGUGUUGGUUGAAAUUAUAAUUUUUUGUAAUUCUUGGAUUGAAAUAUUGUAUUUAAUGGUUUAUGUAAUGAUAAUUUGAAUGUAAGGUAUUAGGAUUGGACACGUGGGACUUCAAUGCUGUAUGUAAUCGAAUCAAAUGAUGGAAUGGAAAUGUAAUGGGAUGAAAUUGAAUUGAAUAUAUGAAGUUUGGAUGCA